GCGUGAAAGUGAAGUCGCUCAGUCAAGUCUGACCCUCAGCGACCCCAUGGACUGCAGCCUACCAGGCUCCUCCAUCCAUGGGAUUUUCCAGGCAAAAGUACUGGAGUGGGGUGCCAUCAUCCAGGCCCACUCCCCACUGAGGGCCCCCACAGAGACAUCAAGCUGACCCCCAAACUGCAGGAGCAGUUCAUGCUCCCUGCGUAGCGCAGGGCUGUGGGGAAGCUGCUACCCAGACCCAGACCCCAGCUCCCAGUCCCCUGUUCGUUAAUCAGGGGCCGAGGGGCUAGUGCUCAUCAGCGGAAGCUGAUGGCAGGUUGCUUCCUGGCCAAGGAGCUUAAGAGGCAGACGUGCCUUCUGUGCACCACAUUUUCCCACCCUUCUAAACGGACAAGUGACUGCAGUGGGAGGCGGGGAAGGGCCGAGAUACAGGCAAAGGAGCCUGAAUCCUUGAACCACCACGUGGAGGAAUGUGUCACCCUCGGGAACUCUUGCGUUGAUGACUGUUCAAUGAGCUUGAACUAAACUGUUUUGCGUUUAUGUUCCUGGCAGCUAGUGUUACACCAUCUCAUACAGGCCUCUGUACCAAAUGCAGGAUGUUUUCCCCUGAAGUGUAUCCACGUGCAUCCCUUCUGUCCCAUUCAGGUCUCUGCUCACAUGGCAUCUCAGUGAGGCCUGACCUGACCACCCUAUUUGAAACCGCAGCCUGCCCACAGCUGCUCCCUGGGACCCGUGUUCCCCUUGCCUGCACCAGCGCCCUCCAUCGCAUUUUUUACAAACCACUAACUGUACUCACUUGUUUCAUCUUCCACCUCCGCCCCCAGUAGAACGUAUGCUACACAAGGGCAGAGAGAGUUUUCUUCACAUGGAUCCACUCCACCCCACCCAGUGCCAGGAACCUGGUCUUGCAGGUGCCCAGUGGUGCAGGCCUCCAGCUGCCCCUGGGCCUCAGGCAGAGCAUUCAUCCACUUACCGAGCACCUGCCGCAUCCCUGAGGCUGGGAGGUCACAGGAUGAGAUGAGGCCCGGGCCAUCGAGGCUGCUGCUCCCCGGAGGGCUCUUCGAGGCCCUGGACCAGGAAACCAGCUUAACCAGCUUUCAGGAUGACCUUGGACAAAGCAUGUCUCAUUCUAAGCCUCAGUUUCCUCUUCAGUAAAUGGAGGAGUCAGUGCCACCAAGUCCUGGAAUUCCUCCCAGCCCUGAUGUUCCAGAACAAGGCUUCUCAUUUUGGGGGGGUCACGAACUGCCAUGUGCAUACCAGAGAAGUGACAGACCCUUGCCUCCAGGAUAAUGUGCCCCUACACGCACACACACAAAGUUUGUCCACACCUUAGAGUUCAUGGAGUCAUGGAACCCACUCAUUCAAGGGCUCCAGGUCUAGACCCUCAGCUUUGGGACAGCCCCCCAGGUCUGAGUUUCUCUCAGUUCAGUGUUGGGAAGAUGGGGAGCUGGGCAACCCCUGAGGGGUUCUCCUCCAAAGACCCCUCUGGUUGGCGGGCAGGGCCACCUUCAACCCAUUUAGGUUUGGUCAUCCCCCCAGUCACCCUUAGCAACCCCAAGGCCAAACUGCCCUUGCUCUGAGGGUCAUGGAGGACUGAGACCAGGGGCAUAGAGGGACAGGAGUGAGCUCCUGACUGCCCAACUGCCUCACGCUGUGCACACUGUCAACCCCACUCCUCCGUCCAGGCCCCUCUUAAAAGCCCCCCUCCUCUUGGAAGCUUCCCUUGCCUUUCUCGGGUACAGACUGUGAGCCCGCCGGGGUCCGAUUCAUCAGCUCUAACACGUGGCACAUGGCAGGUUCUCUGAGGUGGGAGAGGCUGGGGUAGGAAGGGUCAGGCCUGCAGGCCCCUCUCCGGGCUCAGGGACACCCAUUUGCCUUCUAGCCAGAGCCUCCUGGAGACCAGAGCCCCGUGGGAUGCAGCCUCGAGUCUCUCAGACUUUCAGGGAAGCCGGGAAGGUGGUGUUUUCUGGGACAGGUUGGUCCUCGUGGAGAUCCCAGGUCACACUGGGAGGUGGGCCCCGCCCAGUGCUUGGAGCCAAGUCCUCUCAGCAGUCAACCACCCAGACCUUCUUUGUCCUGCCCUUCCAGCUUUCCCAUCUGAGAAAUACGGGGUUAUAGGACCCCAGAGCUUUGGAGAUCUUCCAAGAAGGAAGUGGGAACAGGGAGGAACGGUGGGACCCUUGUUCCCAGGUGUGGUCAGACAAAGGCCCUGCAGCCACAAAGCAGUGUGAUCCAGAGCCCAGCCUAGUUGGGGGGAAGUCAGGCCAGUGCAAGGUGGGCUGGACGCUGUAGCCUGGCUGAGAAAGCCAUGGGUGCCCUGCCUGCAGGCCAAGAACCAGGGGCCUUGUACUUGAGCUGAACAGACCUGAAGCUUUGCGGGCAGGCGUAUUCUUCCCGAUCUCUGCACACUCGAGACUGAAGGCAGAAUAUAAUCUCAAAGCAAGCCCCUGGGAUAGUACCAGGCAGGCAAGCCGGCAGCUCUCCAGACCCCUCUACUGCACAGGUGCGUUAGAAGAGGAUGGACAGCUGCCUCCACGUGGGCUGGGGAACCCAGAGAGGACCGAGAUACUGCCUCAAAGAUGUCUUCCAUCCCCACUGAUGGCUGCCCACGUUCCCCAUGGGAGCUUCAUCCUUUAACUAAAUCUGGGCCCUAUUAGAAUGCGCCUUCAAGCAGCCAGACACAGCUGAGUCCAACCACGGGUGGGAGGCUGAGAAGAGGAGCAGUUCUGAGGGGCACGUGGAGAAGGUCAACAGCUGCGGUGAUGUGGGAUGGGG